rnacentral:tRNA from 1 species
GGGGCUGUAGCUUAGUGGCAAAGCACUUGCCUAGCAUGUGUGAGGCACUGAGUUCCAUCCUCAGCACCACA